GACGAACGCUGGCGGCGUGCUUAACACAUGCAAGUCGAACGGAAAGGCCCUGCUUGCAGGGUACUCGAGUGGCGAACGGGUGAGUAACACGUGGGUGAUCUGCCCUGCACUUCGGGAUAAGCCUGGGAAACUGGGUCUAAUACCGGAUAGGAGCCAUUUUUAUUGUGAUGGUUGGAAAGUUUUUUCGGUGUAGGAUGAGCUCGCGGCCUAUCAGCUUGUUGGUGGGGUAAUGGCCUACCAAGGCGGCGACGGGUAGCCGGCCUGAGAGGGUGGACGGCCACAUUGGGACUGAGAUACGGCCCAGACUCCUACGGGAGGCAGCAGUGGGGAAUAUUGCACAAUGGGCGCAAGCCUGAUGCAGCGACGCCGCGUGGGGGAUGACGGCCUUCGGGUUGUAAACUCCUUUCGCUAGGGACGAAGCUUUUUGUGACGGUACCUAGAUAAGAAGCACCGGCUAACUACGUG
rnacentral:rRNA from 1 species